rnacentral:tRNA from 1 species
UUCCCUGGUGUCCAGUGGUUAGGACUCUGCACUUCCACUGCAGAGGGUGCAGGUUCAAAAUCUGGUCAGGCAAC